UACGUAGGGUGCGAGCGUUGUCCGGAAUUAUUGGGCGUAAAGAGCUCGUAGGCGGUCUGUCGCGUCGGUCGUGAAAACUUGGGGGCUUAACCCUGAGCUUGCGGUCGAUACGGGCAUGACUGGAGUUCGGCAGGGGAGACUGGAAUUCCUGGUGUAGCGGUGAAAUGCGCAGAUAUCAGGAGGAACACCGGUGGCGAAGGC
rnacentral:rRNA from 1 species